GAUGAAGAACGCAGCGAAAUGCGAUAAGUAGUGUGAAUUGCAGAAUUCAGUGAAUCAUCGAAUCUUUGAACGCACAUUGCGCCCCUUGGUAUCCCGAGGGGCAUGCCUGUUCGAGCGUCAUUUCACCACUCAAGCAUGGCUUGGUGUUGGGCGACGUCCUCUUUGGGGACGCGCCUCGAAACGCUCGGCGGCGUGGCACCGGCUUUAAGCGUAGCAGAAUCUUUCGCUUUGGAAGUCGGGGCCCCGUCUGCCGGAAGACCUGCUCGCAAGGUUGACCUCGGAUCAGGCAGGGAUACCCGCUGAACUUAAGCAUAUCAAUAAGCGGAGGA
rnacentral:misc_RNA from 1 species